rnacentral:rRNA from 1 species
CAUGCUGUGAACUCGAAGAGUAGGGCGGGACACGUGGUAUCCUGUCUGAAUAUGGGGGGACCAUCCUCCAAGGCUAAAUACUCCUGACUGACCGAUAGUGAACCAGUACCGUGAGGGAAAGGCGAAAAGAACCCCGGCGAGGGGAGUGAAAAAGAACCUGAAACCGUGUACGUACAAGCAGUGGGAGCACCUUCGGGUGUGACUGCGUACCUUUUGUAUAAUGGGUCAGCGACUUAUAUUCUGUAGCAAGGUUAACCGUAUAGGGGAGCCGAAGGGAAACCGAGUCUUAACUGGGCGUUAAGUUGCAGGGUAUAGACCCGAAACCCGGUGAUCUAGCCAUGGGCAGGUUGAAGGUUGGGUAACACUAACUGGAGGACCGAACCGACUAAUGUUGAAAAAUUAGCGGAUGACCUGUGGCUGGGGGUGAAAGGCCAAUCAAACCGGGAGAUAGCUGGUUCUCCCCGAAAGCUAUUUAGGUAGCGCCUCGUGAACUCAUCUUCGGGGGUAGAGCACUGUUUCGGCUAGGGGGCCAUCCCGGCUUACCAACCCGAUGCAAACUACGAAUACCGAAGAAUGUUAUCACGGGAGACACACGGCGGGUGCUAACGUCCGUCGUGAAGAGGGAAACAACCCAGACCGCCAGCUAAGGUCCCAAAGUCAUGGUUAAGUGGGAAACGAUGUGGGAAGGCACAGACAGCCAGGAUGUUGGCUUAGAAGCAGCCAUCAUUUAAAGAAAGCGUAAUAGCUCACUGGUCGAGUCGGCCUGCGCGGAAGAUGUAACGGGGCUAAACCAUG